GAUUCAGCGCUCAAUGCGGCGUCUAUGUAUAUAUGUCUAUGGUCGGACCAACGUCAAGGCAGCCACGAGCUACAUGCUAGCGCUUUUCGCUACGAGCUACAUGCUAGUGGUUUUUGCUACGAGCUACAUGCUAACGUUUUCCUGCUACGCACUUUGUCGUUUCUGAGCAAGAGAGUGAGCAAUAUAUUGGGACGCUUUUAAUAUUUUUUAUCGGAAUGGAGAGCAAGACUUCUUUUUUUUUGUUGUUGUUGUUGCUGUGGAACCGUGUGUUCUGCAGGGUGGACGAGAGAGAGAGCCCUGGGCCGAUGACUGAAUUGAGAGCCGUGUGACCUGAGUUGUGCUGGAGGUUGUGAGAUUGUGUGUGGUGAUUGAGACUCUGGCCGGGUUCUUUUCCAUGGUAUGGAUUCCUGUUUCCAAAGACUGCAUGAAGAUAUCUACUACUGAGGUUUUUCCUGUGCUAUAAGGGAGAGGGACACUCAGUGGUUGUGGCGAGCCACCCAAGG